CCCCUCACAGGGUCACAUCUGGAGAGUUUCCAGUACUCUACCAGCCUCGACUAUGGGAGGGAGAAUCAAGUAGAGGCAUACUCAUUCCAUUCCUAGCUUGGGCUGUGCUAGUGAAUGGAAGGCAACCUGCUACAAGU